UGAGAAGGACCUCGCUGCAGCCUUGCGGAAAGGGGCGGGGACGGACCACUGUCAGUCCCAUACCUUAUAUGGAAAUGGGAUUAUUGCACUCCGGAAAUGAAGGGGGCGCUAUUUUCAUUAUCACUAGUACCUUAAAGAAGCGGAGUUGAGAAGUCGAUUAAAAGAAGUAGAGGUUCUUCCACUGAUGUUCGGCACACGAUCCAUAAUGCAACCUACGAAGUCAGCAAAAGAUCCACGCAUCUAUCUAUUUGCAACAUAUUGAUGUCCCCCUUGCUCAUACAAUGCCGAUGAGUCGCACAAGGUACAGAACCAUAUAGCAAAAGCUGCUAUGGCUCAACAUAACGGUGCAAAGGAUAUCGCCAAUCUUACAGAUGCCUUUGAAUGGACUUGAAGCUGUUCUCCAGGAGGUGGUACUAGCACAGGGAGACACAGCUUACCUCACCCUGGCAUGCCAAGACACACCUUGGCAUCGACCUUCAAGUGCUUUGAAGCCAUUGUGUCUGACCCAGUUUCCGGGAAGAAGACUCACUUUGCUUGGCUGGAUGGUGAGAUCCACUGGGAUAAAUUUUAAGAGUCAUUCAAAGCAGAAAAUCGGAUUCCUUUUGGGGUCGAAACGUGUUCUUCCUGCAACCGGCCAUAUAAAGACUGUGGGCUUCACCAGAAAUGGAAGGGGAGUACCCUCGUUACUACUGUGAUGCCAUACCCGGACGCUGCCCUGAAAGUCAAUAAUGAAUGAAUCAGUUGUUUUCCAUAUUUCUGUUGUCACACAUUGUUCGUUUUUUUUUUUUUGUGUGUGUGACAUGCCAUUUUAAAACAUUUCUGAUGAAGCACAUUUGCCUUUUAACUUGUGCGGUCAUUCGUUUUGAGUUAUUUCAAUAUUAUGUAAAUUUUUGAAUGUUCUUUUUGUUGUAGCUCAUUCAUUCAUUUAGUUUUCAUAGAAAUAUUGUCGGUUCCAGAAAAAGUUACAUUGUGGCUGUAAGAUGUUCUAAAGAGAGUAGAACCAAUAAAGUUAUUGUAACUAUACUGUAACAGCAUUGUUUAACAUUUUGAUAAUCUUGUUUUAAAAAUUUGACAUACAAUCAAAGUUAAUAACUUGCAAUAUUUUAUAUGUUUAAAUAAAAUGUUUCCUAAAAUCUUUGAAAAAUGACUGGAAUCAAUAGAAAUUUUCUUUACAAAUCCGACAUACAGCUAAGUUGUUUAUGUUUUACCAGUCAGAAUUAGAUUUUUUUUUUUGUAAUAAAGCAAGCACAGAGAAAAACAUUGUUCGGUUACAUAGUCAUAUUGCAAACAUAUGAUUAAUGUAUGCUGAACAAAGGUGGAGACCAGAUGGAGGUGAGGAAAGCUCAGGUGAGGAGCAAUUGCACACAUCAAGCCGGACUUUAUGAAGGGUGGAGGAGAUGAGACCGCCGCCGUUAGGCUGGGACAGAGGUGCAUGAUCAAGUGAUUCGCUGAGCAGAUAAGAUGAAGAUAGUUAUAGUUAGAAUUUACACAUUGGUUUAACUUAUGUAUCCAGUGACUUUAUUCAAAAAGGUUUUCAUAUAGAAAAAAAACCCUCAUCCACAGCGGAUCAUUCUCUCUGCCGGUUACCAGCACCAUGUCUACUGACGGAUUCCGAGCGCCAAAGAUUAUUUCUUGUCAAAUAAACUUUCUAAAACCUA